rnacentral:lncRNA from 1 species
CGUUGCUCGUCAUCCAUUGUCCAUCUCCAAUGUCACCUGAUUCGACCGAAUUUGAACUCAGAAAAUUAUCCGAUCACAUAUACAAUGCUAAUUCUGAUCAUUUCAAUGUCCUUACCAUCCUUUUCCUGUUGCCCAUCUCGUCCUCUCUUGUUUUAUAUCCUUGUAUCCACAUUGCUCACUUUCAUCCAGAUUACUUUACUUUCCCUCCAUCUCAACUCCGUCUUUUCUUUUCCAGUUUCAAAACGAUUGUCUUACUAGUGUACGCUCUGUUAUUGCCCCUGUUAUCCCUCUGUGCCGUAGCCACAAUUACAUACAGCGCCUUCGUUCAAGCAUACCACAAUCGAUCCAUCAACUUCAUUUCAUCUAUUAAGUCCAUCAGAAAGUCAUUUUUUCACAUUCUCUCCACCUUUAUCGUUUCUCAUACCAUUUACAUUUCAAUCACUCUUGUUUUCAUGCUAGUUUUGCUGCUCUCAUCCCAAAUUCUCCAAACUUUUGAACUAAUUAAACUCAAACUCGAUCUGAACCACUUGUUAUUUUUGGUUAUUUUCGCGUUACUUGUGAUGUCACCGGUUCUGCUAUGGCUACAAGUACGCUGGUCUUUAGCUUACGUGAUAGCAGUGGUUGAAUCAAAAUGGGGUUUCGAAACAUUGAGGAGAUCAAGUACCUAUUUGGUAAAAGAGAAGAGAAAGGUAGCUUUCGUGAUGCAUUUGUAUUUCGGGGUUGUGGUGGGAAUAAUGGUGAUUGGAAUAAUGCCUUUUAUGUGACUAUGAUGUUUGUUCUGUCCAUGGUCUUUGGUUGGUGGAUCACCCCGUUGGUAAUGUGUUCGAUGGCAUGGUGGAUACUGGCAUCUCAGGGAAUGAGACAGUUUCGUAUCGAAAAUGUGCUUCUGUAUAUGUAUUGCAAGGACUGCAACGGCGAAAAAUUGCCCUUGGAAAUCGAAGGCAAGCCUGCGGACGAGUUUGUAUAUCUGCCCUUAGACGGUGAGAAGAAUCAAGUCGUUGUGUAAUUUGUUUAAUUUCUCUUGGGACACUGUUUGUUUAUAGAUGAAGAUGAUUAAUAAUGAAUAGUAUUGUUAUACUUGUGCG